GGGGAGGCGUGAGUCAUGCAGGGGACGGUUCGGCAAGUGUGAGUUUCCACUCAAAUAAUCUCGAUACUGAAAGAGGGAUGGAAAAAAAGCAUAUGAGUAGUCAAAUUCGUGCCAACAAAAUCAGUAAGAACAGGCGUGAAAUGGAUGAUGAAAUUCCGCCGACAGCCCCUGACGGUUAGGCAAUCGCAAAGCUCCAAGUGACUUUGCGCACGGUUUAUGUAAAGAUCUCACAAGGACACUACCCGCCUAUUGGUGGGCCUGCUCAACAUGGUAGAACAGUUACAUGGUGUUAAAGAUAUUCUGUAGAGUUGAGACGAAGCCAACAUUAAUAUUAAUUUUCAUUUUCUACCGUUUUCUUUGAUGAUACGUCAACCUGGAUGGUCUCCAAAAUCUACACGAAAGAAACUUCACAAUCAGAUUCUAUGACUGCACCAGAUCGUUCCAAAUUUGCGGGAGAUAAACCACUUAUCUGAUUCAUUUCAGAGUUGUCUAUAAACUAGGUAAUGCUCUAAAGGGAGGGCCGGUCUUCACAAUUCCGUCACCCAGAAUAAAAAGAGGUGGGGGAGGGAUGUAAAGCUCAGUGUCACGUAAUAGUAUGUACACUGGACUACGACUUCUUUCUUCUCUUCAAGGCUCAAAGGCUAAUUUUCAUGUAUUAUUCUUGUAUUAUUCCUUGUCUCCUAAAACAUAGAGCUUUCUAAUUAACAGAGGCUAUGCCCUACCUCUCGUUCGAUGAAAAAAUUGUGUCUAUUAAGCUCAUUUGAUUUUCAUUUUAGUGAAAAUGGGGGGACGGUGUCAAGGAAAAUGUUACGUGGUUAAUUUGGGGUUUUUUAGACCAGUGUGACUAUGGCGUUACAAGCGGGCGUCAAAAAAUCGGAAAAAUCGGUUACGUAAUUUAUGGACAACCCCAUAACGACUUACAUCUUACGUGAAUUUUCGUCCUAAUUGCUCUCACUGCCUGUUUCGUCUCUGCCCGCACGCAGUGCGGCGAUUUCGGCCCGACGGUGAGAGCAAUAGCUAUUAUUUGAUUAUUUUCUUAAUUGUGGUAUAGGUACGACUCUGGCGAGAGACACAACAAUCCUCAUGGUAAGUUCCUACAUUUGCUUGAGGUGCAGCCUUAAUUUAAUAAAAAUUCCUGCUUCGAGCCAAGUGAGUGAAUGUUCUAUGUUACACUGACAUUUUCUUACCUAGUCGCUUUUACCGCCUGUUUCGUCUCUGCCCGCACGCAGUGCGACGAUUUCGGCCCAGCGGUAACAGCAAUACUAAGUAGGGUCAGUUGGGGUAAUUCCGUCACGGGGUAAUUCCGGAUGUGCAUCAUGGAGGUCGUAAAAUUGAGGUUAGGGAAUUUUCGCGCUAGUAUGUUGUUGCCAACGUUCAGUUGGUCACCCUGAGUGAUUUGGUUCUCAUUUCUUGUUUUUUUACGCGUGAUAAGGAGAUCGGUCGUAAAGGUGCGAAAAAAAAAGCAAAUCGCCAAACUCGGAACGUCUCUGCAAAGUGUUACAGCUUCUAAAAUGCCAAGGAAUUACAAAAAAAAGAAGCUGAGUGAGCCUCUCUAUACGCAAUGUGAUCUGGCCAGUGCCGUUCGUGAUGUAUCCAAUCAAAAUCUUACCAUUGUUGCCGCGGCACAAUUUUCUAACAUU